UUUGAAAUGUUGUGUAAAUUG
rnacentral:piRNA from 1 species